UAGGGAAUAUUGCACAAUGGGGGAAACCCGUGAUGCAGCGACGCCGCGUGAAGGAAGAAGUAUCUCGGUAUGUAAACUUCUAUCAGCAGGGAAGAAAAUGACGGUACCUGACUAAGAAGCCCCGGCUAACUACGUGCCAGCAGCCGCGGUAAUACGUAGGGGGCGAAGCGUUAUCCGGAUUUACUGGGUGUAAAGGGAGCGUAGACGGAGCUGCAAGUCUGAUGUGAAAGGCUGGGGCUUAACCCCGGGACUGCUUUGGAAACUGCCCGGCUAGAGUGCAGGAGGGGCAAGCGGAAUUCCUAGUGUAGCGGUGAAAUGCGUAGAUAUUAGGAGGAACACCAGUGGCGAAGGCGGCUUACUGGACGACAACUGACGCUGAGGCUCGAAAGCGUGGGGAGCAAACAGGAUUAGAUACCCUGGUAGU
rnacentral:rRNA from 1 species